rnacentral:rRNA from 1 species
CAUAGCUUUGGGAUUUUAUCUAAAGUAGCGUCUGCCCAGUGAAAAUUUUUUAACGGCUGUGCUUGCACAUUAAAGUAGCGUAGUAGUUUGUCUCUUAAUUGGGGACUUGUAUGAAUGGCAUCACGGAAUCUAGCUGUCUCUGCCAAGUUUUAUGAAAUUUAUCUUUAAGUGAAAAAUCUUAAAUGCAAGAGAGGGACGAGAAGACCCCAUAGAGUUUUAUAGUACUUUUGAUUUAUAAAACACUAAUUAAAUUUAAAAGAUUAUUUUGUUGGGGCAACAAUGGAGAAAUAAAACUCCUAGCUAUAAAAUCCUUAUUGGGAAAAGAUCCUUAAAAAGAAAAAAGAAAAAUUACCUUGGGGAUAACAGCGUUAUAUCCCUUGAGAGAUCUGAUCGAGAGGGAGGUAUGCGACCUCGAUGUUGGACUAAGGCAUCCUUAUGGUGUAGCAGCUAUAAAAGGUAGGCCUGUUCGGCCUUUUAGCCUUACAUGAUCUGAGUUCAGACCGGA